rnacentral:rRNA from 1 species
AUGGGGAUAACGAUUGGAAACGGUCGCUAAUACCCGAUGUGCCGAGAGGUGAAAGAUUAUAUCGCCUGAAGAUGAGCUCGCGUCCGAUUAGCUAGUUGGUGGAGUAAUGGUUCACCAAGGCGACGAUCGGUAGCUGGUCUGAGAGGAUGACCAGUCACACUGGGACUGAGACACGGCCCAGACUCCUACGGGAGGCAGCAGUGGGGAAUUUUCCGCAAUGGGCGCAAGCCUGACGGAGCAAGACCGCGUGGGGGAAGAAGGUUUGUGGAUUGUAAACCCCUUUUAUCAGGGAAGAAGCUCUGACGGUACCUGAUGAAUCAGCCUCGGCUAACUCCGUGCCAGCAGCCGCGGUAAUACGGAGGAGGCAAGCGUUAUCCGGAAUUAUUGGGCGUAAAGCGUCCGUAGGUGGCUAUACGUGUCAGUUGUUAAAGAAUGGGGCUUAACUCCAUAUGGGCGAUUGAAACUGUAUAGCUAGAGAGUGGUAGGGGCAAGGGGAAUUCCCAGUGUAGCGGUGAAAUGCGUAGAUAUUGGGAAGAACACCGGUGGCGAAAGCGCCUUGCUGGGCCAUUACUGACACUGAGGGACGAAAGCUAGGGGAGCGAAUGGGAUUAGAUACC